AUUGAACGCUGGCGGCAGGCCUAACACAUGCAAGUCGGACGGUAGCACAGAGGAGCUUGCUCUUCGGGUGACGAGUGGCGGACGGGUGAGUAAUGUAUGGGGAUCUGCCCGAUAGAGGAGGAUAACCACUGGAAACGGGGGCUAAUACCGCAUAACGUCGCAAGACCAAAGAGGGGGACCUUCGGGCUUCGCACUAUCGGAUGAACCCAGAUGGGAUUAGAUAGUAGGCGGGGUAACGGCCCAACUAGGCGACGAUCACGAGCUGGCCUGAGAGGAUGACCAGCCACACUGGAACUGAGACACGGUCCAGACUCCUACGGGAGGCAGCAGUGGGGAAUAUUGCACAAUGGGCGCAAGCCUGAUGCAGCCAUGCCGCGUGUAUGAAGAAGGCCUUCGGGUUGUAAAGUACUUUCAGCGGGGAGGAAGGCGAUGUGGUUAAUAACCGCGUCGAUUGACGUUACCCGCAGAAGAAGCACCGGCUAACUCCGUGCCAGCCGCCGCGGUAA
rnacentral:rRNA from 1 species